AGUGAACGCUGGCGGUAGGCCUAACACAUGCAAGUCGAACGGCAGCACAGUAAGAGCUUGCUCUUACGGGUGGCGAGUGGCGGACGGGUGAGGAAUACAUCGGAAUCUACUUUUUCGUGGGGGAUAACGUAGGGAAACUUACGCUAAUACCGCAUACGACCUACGGGUGAAAGCAGGGGAUCUUCGCACCUUGCGCGAAUGAAUGAGCCGAUGUCGGAUUAGCUAGUUGGCGGGGUAAAGGCCCACCAAGGCGACGAUCCGUAGCUGGUCUGAGAGGAUGGUCGCCCACACUGGAACUGGGACACGGUCCAGACGCCUACGGGAGGCAGCAGUGGGGAAUAUUGGACAGUGGUCGCAAGCCUGGUCCAGCCAUACCGCGUGUGUUAAGAAGGCCUUCGGGUUGUAAAGCCCUUUUUUUGGGAAAGAAAAGCAGCAGGUUAAUACCCCGCUGUUCUGACGGUACCCAAAGAAUAAGCACCGGCUAACUUCGUG
rnacentral:rRNA from 1 species